rnacentral:rRNA from 1 species
UACAGAGGGUGCAAGCGUUGUUCGGAAUUACUGGGCGUAAAGCGCGUGUAGGCUGCGACGUAAGUCAGGUGUGAAAGCCCUCAGCUUAACUGAGGAAGUGCACUUGAUACUGCGUCGCUUGAGUGUCGGAGGGGGUGGCGGAAUUCCCGGUGUAGAGGUGAAAUUCGUAGAUAUUGGGAAGAACACCGGUGGCGAAGGCGGCGACCUGGUCCGAUACUGACGCUGAGGCGCGAAAGCGUGGGGAGCAAACAGG